CCAUCUGUGCAUGCAGCAUAUCAAUAAGCGGAGGAAAAGUCAACUACCUAUGCUUAGGAUGUUGACGAGACUGUCGAUCUCAUACAUGACUCUGCGCAUAUCAAUAAGCGGAGGAAAAGACAACAUACCUACGCUUAGGAUGUUGACACACGCGCGUGCUCGACUCUAUACAUGACUCUGUGCAUAUCAAUAAGCGGAGGAAAAGAAACUAACAAGGAUUCCCUUAGUAACGGCGAGUGAAGCGGGAAGAGCUCAAAUUUGAAAUCUUCAAGGUUUUACCUUGACGAAUUGUAGUUUAAAGAAGUGUUUUCUGCUGAAGUUUUGGUAAAAGUUCUUUGGAAUAGGACAUCAUAGAGGGUGAGAAUCCCGUAUUUGACCAUUAUUUUCAGCUUUGUGAUACACUUUCAAAGAGUCGGAUUGUUUGGGAAUGCAGUCCAAAAUGGGUGGUAAAUUUCAUCUAAAGCUAAAUAUUGGCGAGAGACCGAUAGCGAACAAGUACCGUGAGGGAAAGAUGAAAAGAACUUUGAAAAGAGAGUUAAACAGUACGUGAAAUUGUCAAAAGGGAAGCGUUUGACACCAGUGUUGUUUUCUCGAAAAUCAAUUAAAAAUGGCUCGAUUUUGUAUUGCUGAGACCUUAAAAGCUCACUGUACAUUUUUCGUGUCUUUUUUAAUGCACUUUUCGUUUAACAAGUCAACAUCAGUUUCUUUUGUUGUAAAAGGGUCAUUGGAAGGUGGCUUUCUUUUCGGAGAAAGUGUUUAUAGCCUUCGGCCUCUGCAAUCGGAGAGACUGAGGUCUGCAGCGUAGACUCUUCGGGGUUAGAUACAUUUGUGCUAAGUUAUAGCUUUUUAUAGACAACUUGUUGACUAUAAUUAGUCUUGUAGCUUACUCGCUUAUGCUAUUUUACCUACGCUUAGGAUGUUGACGCAUGAGAUAUACGC
rnacentral:rRNA from 1 species